GGGCUCGUAGCUCAGCUGGUAGAGCAUGCAAGUACAAAGCGUAGGCGGCGUCCGUGCAUGGGUUUGAAUCCCACCGAGGCUA
rnacentral:tRNA from 1 species